CCCGCGGUGACGGCGGAGCGGUGGGCGCUGCUCGAGCUGCUCCAUCCCAGGGCUGCGCUGCGAGAAACGCGCCCGUGCGGGGCUGCGGGGCUGCGUGUGCCGCUGCUGCAGCCCGUGGCUGCUGAAUGUGCUGGGACUGAAGUUACGGCCUGUUAUCCGUGCGGCUCAGAGGACUCUGGAAGUCCCUCCGUGUGGCAGCCCGCAGGACAGAGAAGCACAGUGCAGGUGAGCCCACAUCCAUGAGCUCAGUGCUGUGUCAGCCCGGAGCUGCUCCCAGAGGCGUGCGCCAUCGCUGUGCCCAGCAUUCCUUGGUCCCCAGGACAUUGAGCUGCAUUAUUUCCUGGUAAAUGGACACUUUCCCCAGAGACAAUCAUUCUAACCCAGUUCCAGCAGCUUUCCAAUUACUUUUCAUCACACUAGUUUUUUUCUCCUAAAAUUUUUUCUCUGAACAUGGAGGCCGUUUGGUGGCUGUGGGAAGAAUCCUUUUUCUUUUUGUUCUCACUGGAGGGCUUUCCUGGUCCAUCUCCACUAAGAACACUGCAGAGAAUUGGUAAAAAGUAAACGGCAUUUGCUUGGACAGCAAGGAGUGGUACUCCCAUCCUGAGCCUUGGAAAUUCGCUGAUUAAUGGCACUCUGUAACAGGAGGCUUUAACAUCUUGGUGUAGGAAAACACAUAUACAAACUUCACAUAAAUGACAAGCGUCACCUUAAUUGCUGAAACAAAAUUAUAUAAGAAUAUCACUUCAGAGCAGGUAUAAUAUUUAAAAGGUGUCAAUUUUCUCUCACAUCUGCUUUUUAAGGUAUUUUCUAGAGAAUGAAGGAUGCUUUUCCUCUGGUCCUUACACCAGAAUAUUUUCUGAAACCCGUUAUGUGGGUAAAGGCUGCAACGCUUUGCGAUUUCAGAGUCUGAUAUACUUUCAUUUAGUAAAGCAGCCUCGUUGCAUAAAGGUGAUGGUACUGGUAUGGGAACUGCUGAGUCACAGCCUGAACUGAUGAAGCACCUGGGGAAAGGACCUGCUCUGCCCUGGGAGCACAGGUGGAGGCAAUUCAGCUGUAUGACCGGAGGGGGUGUAGCCUGGUUCCUCUUUCAGCUCACUUAAGGGCUGACUGCCACCGAGGAUGGUUCUUGUCCUGGAGAUCCCUCUUUUGUGGAGCUUUUCUACAAGCCCAGUUCUUCGGAGACGGAAAUAUUUCUCAGGUUGUCACACAGGCGCCCGCGCUGCUGUUGGGGCUGAGUCCUUCAGACAGCUGUGCCGUGCCGUUUGCUCUGCGCGCUGCAGGUGGGGAGGGACCCACGGGGCCGAGCCGUGUCUGUGUCACACCUGGGCUGUGGCUCUGCCCCUGCCCUGCCAGCUGUGUGCUCACAUCCUGCCGAGCACCCACUGCCCAAACCGCGCUGAGCCCACCGCCGCCUGCUGCGCUGCACCAGAUGCCGAGUGGUCUGACUGGAGUUUGCUCGCACCUCCUGCAGCCGUGGUGUACACAGCUUCUGAAAAGGCAUUUUCUGCAGGCACUUUGUGGUGUUGGCUGUGGCCUCCAGUGAGAACGGUGUGCUUUGGGCGCUCAGCGCCUUUCCCUGCUCCUCCACCUGCUGACAGCACCACGUGUGAAUCCUCUGUGCCGCGUCGGUGUUCAUUAGCAAAUAACUCCAGGGUUGUCUAAAUGAGAAAGGCAAUUAGGCGGAUCUGUGGAAGACAAAGCACGUAUUGAUGAAUGUAAUGAUGACAUGUGUGGAAUAAUUUUGGACUCAAAGUAAAAAUCAAAAGAAAAAAGAAAGCAGGUGUCUUCCAAUUAGGGCAUAAAUCAACAAUUACGAGCUCUCUGACUGCUGUCGAAAUGCACUCUGCGUAGCGCUCCAAAGGAAGGAAGCCACCAAUAUUUUAUAUAAUUAAAGGAAAUUAUGUAUCCAAUACCUUUUAAUAUGAUUAACAGCUGUAGGGAGAAGCUGUCUAAGUGCAGCAGUUAAGGGGAAUAUUAGUGUGCCGUUUACACAGAGCUAAACAAGCAGGGCUGUGUGCCCGGCUGAGGGCUGGGAGCGUCUGCAUGGGGGUGAGAGCAAACCUGUGUUUGGGUAACAGAUGGGAGGUGCGAGGCUGCGGGCACUGCGGCAGUGUCCGUCUGUUUGUUGUUCCCUGGGGUCAGCUGAGCUGUUCCCUGAGCUCAAGCAGGCCCUCAGCACAGCACAAAGAUGCCAGGCUGCACAAGAGGGAUGUUAUUCUGUGAUUAAAAAUAAAAUAGAUACACUCCUAAAUACAUCAUGCAAAAGAGAGAAAUUAACAUGGGGCUGAGCUUUUUACGAGUUUGCAGCUCAGUCAUCUGCACUCAUUUUGGAAGCAGUGGAACAGAAUGGGCUGUGCAGGGCAGCACUGGUGAGCUGCAACCUGAGGUCCCAGGAGCAGGGAGAGG